GGUGAUAUAACUCAAAUAGUAGAGCACAUGCUUAGCAUGCACAAGGCCCUGGGUUCAAUUCCCAGUACUCCCA
rnacentral:tRNA from 1 species